rnacentral:rRNA from 1 species
CAAUAUAAGUGAUGGCGACCGGCGCACGGGUGAGUAACACGUAUCCAACCUGCCGAUAACUCGGGGAUAGCCUUUCGAAAGAAAGAUUAAUACCCGAUGGUAUAAUAAAACCGCAUGGUUUAAUUAUUAAAGAAUUUCGGUUAUCGAUGGGGAUGCGUUCCAUUAGGCAGUUGGUGAGGUAACGGCUCACCAAACCUUCGAUGGAUAGGGGUUCUGAGAGGAAGGUCCCCCACAUUGGAACUGAGGCACGGUCCAA